CCUACGGGAGGCAGCAGUGAGGAAUAUUGGUCAAUGGGCGUAAGCCUGAACCAGCCAAGUCGCGUGAGGGAUGAAGGUUCUAUGGAUUGUAAACUUCUGUCAGCAGGGAAGAACGGUCACCGUGCGAAUCAGCAGUGAAUUGACGGUACCUGCAAAGGAAGCACCGGCUAACUCCGUGCCAGCAGCCGGGGUAAUACGGAGGGUGCGAUCGUUAAUCGGAAUUACUGGGCGUAAAGCGCUCGUAGGCGGUAGGUCAAGUCAAGGGUGAAAUCCCCGCGCUCAACGUGGGAACUGCCUUUGAAACUGGCAGACUGGAGUGUGUGAGAGGAUAGUGGAAUUCCAGGUGUAGGAGUGAAAUCCGUAGAUAUCUGGAGGAACAUCGGUGGCGAAGGCGACUAUCUGGCACAUAACUGACGCUGAGGAGCGAAAGCGUGGGUAGCAAACAGGAUUAGAUACCCGGGUAGUC
rnacentral:rRNA from 1 species